CAGUCCGAUUCCAAGGUCCACGAUGCUCAGGCCGGGUAUGAGAGUGCCGCCCAGGCAAUGACUUUGGGUCUUUCCGGGGCGAAUUGGAUCCACGAUGCAG
rfam:Peptococcaceae bacterium CEB3 CEB3_contig000059, whole genome shotgun sequence.